rnacentral:tRNA from 1 species
GUCUUUUUAGUUUAAUUAAAAAAUAUAAUUUUGAAGUAGUUAAGAUGUUUAAGGACA